UAAUACUCUAUUUUUCGUUGC
rnacentral:piRNA from 1 species